AGAGUUUGAUCCUGGCUCAGAACGAACGCUGGCGGCGUGGCUAAGACAUGCAAGUCGAACGGACCAUUAAUUUAUUAGUGGUUAGUGGCGAAAGGGUUAGUAAUAGAUAGGUAACGUACCCUAUGCUCCGGGAUAGCGCCGGUUGCCUUCGGGCAACCUACCGAAAGGGACGGGAAUACCGGAUAAUAUCAUGCGUUGAUAGGCGCAUGAUCAAAGAUUUAUCGGCAAAGGAGCGGCCUAUCUCCUAUCAGCUUGUUGGUAAGGUAACGGCUUACCAAGACUACGAUAGGUAGGGGCCCUGAGAGGGGGAUCCCCCACACUGGUACUGAGACACGGACCAGACUCCUACGGGAGGCAGCAGUGAGGAAUAUUGGACAAUGGAGGCAACUCUGAUCCAGCCAUGCCGCGUGCAGGAAGACUGCCCUAUGGGUUGUAAACUGCUUUUAUAUAGGAAGAAACGUUCCCACGUGUUGGGAAUUUGACGUACUAUAAGAAUAAGACCGCUAACU
rnacentral:rRNA from 1 species